rnacentral:rRNA from 1 species
UAUCCUGCGGGGGGCAGCAGUGGGGGAUAUUGCACAAUGGGGGAAACCCUGAUGCAGCGACGCCGCGUGAGCGAAGAAGUAUUUCGGUACGUAAAGCUCUAUCAGCAGGGAAGAAUAAUGACGGUACCUGACUAAGAAGCCCCGGCUAACUACGUGCCAGCAGCCGCGGUAAUACGUAGGGAGCAAGCGUUGUCCGGAUUUACUGGGUGUAAAGGGUGCGUAGGCGGGAACACAAGUCAGGCGUGAAAUACCGGGGCUCAACUCCGGGGCUGCGCUUGAAACUGUGUUUCUUGAGUGAAGUAGAG